UGAGGAAUAUUGGACAAUGGGCGCAAGCCUGAUCCAGCCAUGCCGCGUGUGUGAAGAAGGUCUUAGGAUCGUAAAGCACUUUAAGUUGGGAGGAAGGGCAGUAAAUUAAUACUUUGCUGUUUUGACGUUACCGACAGAAUAAGCACCGGCUAACUCUGUGCCAGCAGCCGCGGUAAUACAGAGGGUGCAAGCGUUAAUCGGAAUUACUGGGCGUAAAGCGCGCGUAGGUGGUUCGUUAAGUUGGAUGUGAAAUCCCCGGGCUCAACCUGGGAACUGCAUUCAAAACUGUCGAGCUAGAGUAUGGUAGAGGGUGGUGGAAUUUCCUGUGUAGCGGUGAAAUGCGUAGAUAUAGGAAGGAACACCAGUGGCGAAGGCGACCACCUGGACUGAUACUGACACUGAGGUGCGAAAGCGUGGGGAGCAAACAGGAUUAGAUACCCCGGUAGUCCCUGAGCGGGCUGGCAAGGCGCAU
rnacentral:rRNA from 1 species